rnacentral:rRNA from 1 species
UGGAGGAAAGCAGGGGAUCGCAAGACCUUGCGCUUUUGGAGUGGCCGAUGCCUGAUUAGCUAGUUGGUGGGGUAAGAGCCUACCAAGGCGACGAUCAGUAGUUGGUCUGAGAGGACGACCAGCCACACUGGGACUGAGACACGGCCCAGACUCCUACGGGAGGCAGCAGUGGGGAAUUUUGGACAAUGGGCGAAAGCCUGAUCCAGCAAUGCCGCGUGAGUGAAGAAGGCCUUCGGGUUGUAAAGCUCUUUCAGUCGAGAAGAAAAGGUCGCGACUAAUAAUCGCGACUCAUGACGGUAUCGACAGAAGAAGCACCGGCUAACUACGUGCCAGCAGCCGCGGUAAUACGUAGGGUGCGAGCGUUAAUCGGAAUUACUGGGCGUAAAGGGUGCGCAGGCGGCUUUGUAAGUCAGAUGUGA